rnacentral:rRNA from 1 species
AAUAUUGGACAAUGGGCGAAAGCCUGAUCCAGCCAUGCCGCGUGUGUGAAGAAGGUAUUCGGAGUGUAAAGCACUUUAAGUUGGGAGGAAGGGGUUGAAGCUAAUACCUACAAUCUUUGACGUUACCAACAGAAUAAGCACCGGCUAACUCUGUGCCAGCUGCCGCGGUAAUACAGAGGGUGCAAGCGUUAAUCGGAAUUACUGUGCGUAAAGCGCGCGUAGGUGGUUCAGUAAGAUGGCAGUGAAAUCCCCGGGCUUAACCUGGGAACUGCUUUCAUAACGGCUGAGCUAGAGUAAGGUAGAGGGUAGGGGAAUUUCCUGUGUAGCGGUGAAAUGCGUAGAUAUAGGAAGGAACACCAGUGGCGAAGGCGACUACCUGGACUGAUACUGACACUGAGGUGCGAAAGCGUGGGGAGCAAACAGG